rnacentral:rRNA from 1 species
AUUGAACGCUGGCGGCAUGCUUUACACAUGCAAGUCGAACGGUAGAGGGGGCAACCCCUUGAGAGUGGCGAACGGGUGAGUAAUGCAUCGGAACGUGCCCAGUCGUGGGGGAUAACGCAGCGAAAGCUGUGCUAAUACCGCAUACGAUCUCUGGAUGAAAGCGGGGGACCGAAAGGCCUCGCGCGAUUGGAGCGGCCGAUGUCAGAUUAGGUAGUUGGUGGGGUAAAGGCUCACCAAGCCAACGAUCUGUAGCUGGUCUGAGAGGACGACCAGCCAGACUGGGACUGAGACACGGCCCAGACUCCUACGGGAGGCAGCAGUGGGGAAUCUUGCGCAAUGGGCGAAAGCCUGACGCAGCGACGCCGCGUGAGGGAAGAAGGCCUUCGGGUUGUAAACCUCUUUCAGGAGGGACGAAGCCACUCGGGUUAAUAGCCCAGAGGGUGACGGUACCUCCAGAAGAAGCCCCGGCUAACUACGUGCCAGCCGCCGCGGUAA